rnacentral:rRNA from 1 species
CAUGCCUAACACAUGCAAGUCGAACGAGACCUUCGGGUCUAGUGGCGCACGGGUGCGUAACGCGUGGGAAUCUGCCCUUGGGUUCGGAAUAACUCGCCGAAAGGCGUGCUAAUACCGGAUGAUGUCGUAAGACCAAAGAUUUAUCGCCCAGGGAUGAGCCCGCGUAAGAUUAGCUAGUUGGUGAGGUAAAGGCUCACCAAGGCGACGAUCUUUAGCUGGUCUGAGAGGAUGAUCAGCCACACUGGGACUGAGACACGGCCCAGACUCC